GACGAACGCUGGCGGCGUGCCUAAUACAUGCAAGUAGGACGCAGUUGCGAACGGGUGAGUAACGCGUAGGUCACCGCCUAUUAGAGGGGGAUAACUAUUGGAAACGAUAGCUACUACCGCAUACUAGUAGAUGGACAUGCGUUGUAUUAGCUAGUAGGUAGGGUAAGGGCCUACCUAGGCGCGGAUACAUAGCCGACCUUAGAGUGUGAUCGGCCACACGGGGACUGAGACACGGCCCAGACUCCGACGGGAGGCAGCAGUAGGGAAUCUUCGGAAAUGGGGGGAACCCUGACCGAGCAACGCCGCGUGAGUGAGGAAGGUUUUCGGAUCGUAAAGCUCUGUUGUUAAGGAAGCGGUACUUAACCAGAAAGGGACGGCUAACUACGUGCCAGCAGCCGCGGUAAUAC
rnacentral:rRNA from 1 species